GUAAAUUACAGGGUGCUAGCUGAUGGUCAUAUUCCUUGGGCCUGUGAGGAAUUCUCCCGGCUUCAUGGAAAACAUCUUGUACAGAAUCCUCCUCUACUAUGGAGCUGGCGUUUCCUUAUGAUUAAACUCUGGAACCACAGUCUAUUAGAUGCCCGCGCCAUGAACGUCUGCGGCACAAUUCUUCAAGGCUACCAAAAUGAAAGCGGCUCGGACCCCAAGAAAAUGUGAGUCGAGCAUAGUGCGCUCAUUAUAAUUUAAAUCAAGUGGGUGUUUGGAGGAGGCCUUAGGAGCAUGUUAAAGAGAGGUGAAAGCUGCACCUGAGGCCAUGGAGGACUAUUCUCGAUUCUAUUUAUCGAUCGGUUGUGUUGAAGCAGCAGUGAUCCGGAUGAGAUGUGUUUACAUGGACUGUUGUUGUUCGUCGUGUUCUGUUCCAUGGAUCAGCGCCUUUAGUGUCGCAGAACUUGUCGUAUGGUCUGCAAACUUGAAUCAUUGUUCCUUGCUGCAAUAAAACCUAUCUAAAAUUA